rnacentral:rRNA from 1 species
UACGUAGGUGGCAAGCGUUGUCCGGAUUUACUGGGCGUAAAGAGCGCGCAGGCGGUCGUUCAAGUCGGGUGUGAAAGCCCCCGGCUCAACUGGGGAGGGUCACGCGAUACUGAUCGACUCGAAGGCAGGAGAGGGUAGUGGAAUUCCCGGUGUAGUGGUGAAAUGCGUAGAUAUCGGGAGGAAGGCCGGUGGCGAAGGCGGCGCUCUGGAACAUUUCUGACGCUGAGGCUCGAAAGCGUGGGGAGCAAACAGG